rnacentral:lncRNA from 1 species
AUGGCAGAAGAGUUGAAAUCCACUUUGCAAUAUUAUCUUGUGAAAAACAGGGACAGAUUUUCUCUGUAGCCCAGUAGGGUUUGACCUCAUUACUAUGGUGCUUUGGGUGAGGACCUCUUCCUGGUUAUCCUACUUUUUUGUGAACAGCUAAAAAUCCUGGGAGUCUCUACUGUUAAGCUGCCCUUAAAGGAUAAAGCAGGGACCACCUGUCUCAGUGGGUCCAUAUUUCUUUUAAAAUUAGCUAUUUGAAGAAACUAACAGCAGUAGUUGCAGUCUUCUAAGAUAAAUCUUUCAUUUGGUACCCAUUGUGUAAAAUAGUGAUCAAUAUUCUCAAGCUUCUCCACAUCAAAUUGCCUUUGUCUAGCUGUUUCAACUCCAGUUUAUAAAGCUUACUGGUUUUCAGAGAAGAGUGUAAAACUUUUUCUAAGGCAAAUGGUAUGGCAGGAACUAUAGCGUACGUGAUUAUUGAUAUUCCUGGGUGGACAGAUACAAUUUAAAACAUUUUAGGGAUGUUCAGGUAGCCUGCUGUAUUUCGACUUCCCCAGGCACUAUUGUUGUCUCACAUCAUAAUUAUGUAUUUGCCAUAGGAGAAAUGAUGCAAAUAUGUGAUUAUAGUGUCACCAGAUUUCUGUUAAAACCAAGGUAGUAAUCAAAAACCUAACAUUGAUAAACUAUUCUUUCUUUCUCAUUUUAGAAUGAUGCAAAGAUUUCAAAUAAACCUGUACAGAGUCAACUUUUAAUGCCUAGCUGGAAUCUGAAUUCUGAGGAAAACUCUAAAACACUUAACAAAUCUUUAAGGAAUUUUUAUUUUUCAGAUCAUAAUUUGAAAUGAUGUAUACCUUUUUGUGAUAAUUAUCAGAGCAAUUCAGAAACCAGUUUUCUACCAUUUUAGUUGAAAGACAAUAGUAGAUACAAUUGGGAUACUUGUUGGUAAUUUUAGAGUAAACUUCUACUUCUGCAUCAUACCUUUUGUAGAUAAUGGAACCUAUGUAGUUCAGAAAUUCUUUGUGGUAUAUGAGAAAAGUGUUUUGUAAAUGCUGAGAAUUAUACAAAUGAUACUUGUUAUUUUCAUGUGUAUUUGUAAGAUCAUGCCCAUCCAUAAAUAGACACUUCACACAAAGAAGACUUUCUCAACAUAACCUGUAUUUUAGUAUUUUCGUCUAUUAUAAAAGUAUUAACUAUUUACUUGUAUUUUGUUAUACAUUUAUUUUUAAUGUUCAGGUGUCUGUUGUAGUAAAUUUGAAAUCCUAUAAAUCAGAAUUUGUUUAAACAUGGACCUCAUGCCAAUAUUGUUUAAUUUUUUUCUCUACAUAAUUUAAAACUACAUAAAUUAAGUAGGCCACCAAGAACUUAGUUUGAGUCCUAUGAAAUUAAAGUAACAAUUUUUAAAGUUACCCAACUGAUACUUUAAUUUUCUUAAAUUAUUUAUUUUCCUUUACUGAUUUUUGAUAAAUAAUGAUGUUAGCAUUGAUAAAGUAAUAAAGAAUUUUAGGGUAUAAUUAGUAUAUCAAAAGGGAUUUAUCAACCAAAAUGGUAUCAGAUUAUAUUCAUGCUGUCAUCACAUAGUUGACAGAUUUUCUUUUGGUGGGUGAUGCUCGUAUAAGCCUUUGGGUUAGUGUGUAUGUAUAUAGUCAAUACAUGUGUGUAUAUAUGUAGAUAGAUGGUAUGCUCAUCUACACACAUACAGACAGACAUCAAGAAUUUUAUCAGUUUCUGAUCAGAAAAAGGCACAUAAAGUAAAAAUUAGUUGACCUUAUUAAAUUCAAUUCCAGAAGUAUAUUUUUUUAAUUUGGGCAUUUCUAGAAUACUUUGUUACAUAUGAAAGUACAUGAUGAAUAUUAGGAUGAUGACUCAUACAGUCAGAAUCUAUAUAAUGCAUAUACAGUUUUACAAGAUCAGAAAACAAAUUGACGGGAGAUACAAGUUUGCUAAACCUAGCCAUUGAUAUACCUCAGUGGGGAAGGAAUUCAAAAGUAUUUUUUGUGGGUCAACAGAAAUGUACAGUUUUUUCUCCAUGAACUUUAAUCAUUUUUCAUGUGUUCCUAUAUGUGAGUGAGCUAUAAAGUGGUCUAAUUUUUACAACAAAAAGGCCUUCUUCCUUUUCUACUCUAAUCUUCCCACUGACUUCACUGCACAGGUAUGAAAUGGUAGCCUAUUGUAUCUUCAGUAACCUUUUUUUUUCCCCUAGAUGACUGAAAUAUAGGUAUUUACUCCAUUUAAACCAGGUGUUAACAAAAAAGUGAUGUAAAUACUCAGGGAGGGUAUUAACUUGUCAUUUUUGCCUAAUUGGAGUGUUUAAAGUGCCAUAUCUGAGUAACUUGCAGUUCAUGAUUCUAGAGUAAAUUCAGUUUGGUAAAGGGCUUCACACAUGGUGGUGGUUAAACAUUCAUUUUUUUAUAUUUAGAAAGAUGAAAAUGUUUUGUGGACUGAUACAUUUUCUCUUAGUGAAUAUGAAUUGUUUAUGUAUCUCUACUGUCAUACCCUUUUGAAAUGAAACUCAGGAAAAUACAAAGGUUCAAUUAUACUACUUUUGUCAGUGUACAAACCAGGUGUAUUUUUUUUUUCCUGUUGUGUGGAUAUGGCAAUAGAUUUUUUAAAAAGAAAUGUGAGAACCCAUACAUGAAAAGAGAGGGUUGAAUCAUCAGUGUGUGCCUUUGUUUCUUGAGAUUUAUAUGUGGAAAAGAUACCUUCUACUCCAGACUGUAUUUUCAAAGAGAAGAGAUUGCUCUUUAUGUGGUGCCAAGUGAUAAGAUAACGUCUCUUAAAGGCUUCCUGUGGACUGCCUUUAUUUUCCUAAACUCAAGACACCAGUUAACCUCAGCAUAAUUUUGGCCUUUCUUAGAAUUUCUUGUGCAUUAUAUUGAAAACCAGGUUUAUAUCACCUCACCCCAUUAUUCCUUUUAGUUAAAUAAAUUCACCAUACCAAGAAACCAGAAUGGGGCAAUUUGGUUGGCCUUUUAAGGCAGUAGGUUUGACUAGCUAGCUAUACUUACUGUCACAUCUAAUGCUAGUCAUCAGAAACCACUUGAGCCAGGAGUGUGAACUGAUAAUUCCAGAGACAGUUUCAACAUACUUCAGACUUUUUAAAAAUGUUUUUUAUGAAUGUUUUACAUUUGUGUGAUUGCCUUAGAUAUUAAAUUUUUGUAGUGCUAAAGAUCAUCAUUAAAAAAUGUUUUGAAUACCAGUAGUUAUAACUUAUUUUAUGUAUUGUCCCAAAGAAAAGAAUUUGUUUUAAUGUUUUCAAAAUAACUGCAUCUGAAUUUGUUUAUAUGCCUUAAGUUCUCUAGUGCUAUUUCAACUUUUCUUUCAAUCUAAAUAAAGCUUACCUUAGAUAAGUUUCAUACUUGUUUCCUAUAGAGUAAGUUUCCCUUCUUGAAUUUUUUAAUGAGCACCAGCCUUGUGGUUGCUUGAAAGAAAAUGUUAAGAAAGGUUGUUGGGUGUUUGGAGUUUUAUUAUAUUGGGGGACUUUUUUUGUUUGAUGCCAAGGUGCUUUUUAAGAUAUUAAGAAAAACAUCUAUCUUAUGUUGAUUAAACCCUUGUAAACAUCAUUUGCAAUAUCUGCAUCUAAAGUCAAAAAAGUAAGUCUACUUAUUUUUGUUUCAUUCUUACGUACUGUUUUGUUUCUUUUGUUUUUUCUUCUACAGGCUCUUUCAUUUAUCUUUCCUGAAAAAGUUCUUAGUCUUUCUUUCUCCAACACCCCUCCCCAUGGUUUCUUAAUUUAAAUCUUGUUGAGAGUUUCUGGAGCUAUCUAAGACAACACGAUUAUAGAGUUGAACAAAAGCAUAAUAUGCUUUACAGCUUGUACAGACUUGUGGCAGCCAAGUGUCUUUUGCUUUCAGAUGCUCCAGAGUCUUCACAGUGGGGAAAAAAAAAAAAAAAAGCUUUGUAUUUCUUUGUUUUCAAUUUAGUUGCAGCACACUAAUACUUAUAUGUCUUGUUUAAAUAUACUUUGUGCAUAGUUGUCUUUAAUUUUUAAAAAGUUGUAUCUAAUAAAAAAUGUCUUUUAACCAUU